AAUUGAGCGUUACCCGCAGAAGAAAGCCCCGGGCUAUACUCCGUGGCCAGCAGCCUGCGUUAUACGGAGGGGUCAAGCGUUAAUCGGAAUUACUGGGCGUAAAGCGCACGCAGGCGGUCUGUCAAGUCGGGAUGUGAAAUCCCCGGGCUCAACCUGGGAACUGCAUUCGAAACUGGCAGGCUAGAGUCUUGUAGAGGGGGGUAGAAUUCCAGGUGUAGCGGUGAAAUGCGUAGAGAUCUGGAGGAAUACCGGUGGCGAAGGCGGCCCCCUGGACAAAGACUGACGCUCAGGUGCGAAAGCGUGGGGAGCAAACAGGAUUAGAUACCCUGGUAGUCCACGCCGUAAACGAUGUCGACUUGGAGGUUGUGCCCUUGAGGCGUGGCUUCCGGAGCUAACGCGUUAAGUCGACCGCCUGGGGAGUACGGCCGCAAGGUUAAAACUCAAAUGAAUUGACGGGGGCCCGCACAAGCGGUGGAGCAUGUGGUUUAAUUCGAUGCAACGCGAAGAACCUUACCUACUCUUGACAUCCAGAGAACUUUCCAGAGAUGGAUUGGUGCCUUCGGGAACUCUGAGACAGGUGCUGCAUGGCUGUCGUCAGCUCGUGUUGUGAAAUGUUGGGUUAAGUCCCGCAACGAGCGCAACCCUUAUCCUUUGUUGCCAGCGGUCCGGCCGGGAACUCAAAGGAGACUGCCAGUGAUAAACUGGAGGAAGGUGGGGAUGACGUCAAGUCAUCAUGGCCCUUACGAGUAGGGCUACACACGUGCUACAAUGGCGCAUACAAAGAGAAGCGACCUCGCGAGAGCAAGCGGACCUCAUAAAGUGCGUCGUAGUCCGGAUUGGAGUCUGCAACUCGACUCCAUGAAGUCGGAAUCGCUAGUAAUCGUAGAUCAGAAUGCUACGGUGAAUACGUUCCCGGGCCUUGUACACACCGCCCGUCACACCAUGGGAGUGGGUUGCAAAAGAAGUAGGUAGCUUAACCUUCGGGAGGGCGCUUACCACU
rnacentral:rRNA from 1 species